GACUGGAUGGCUCAGUUGGUAGAGCACUGGAAUCGUCAUCCGGAGGAGGCAGGUUCAAACCCUGUUCCAGUCA